GAAAUGCGAUAAGUAAUGUGAAUUGCAGAAUUCAGUGAAUCAUCGAAUCUUUGAACGCAUCUUGCGCUCCUUGGUAUUCCGAGGAGCAUGCCUGUUUGAGUGUCAUUCGACUUGUCAACCGCAUCAAUUGCGAUGUGGCUUGGAUGUGGGGGUUUUUGCAGGCUCUCUUUCAUGAGGUCGGCUCCCCUGAAAUGUAUUAGUGGUAUCUGAGCAGAACUACUACCGUCAGGUGUGAUAAAUUAUCUAUGCCUUUGGGUAUGCUGCAUCAACAGAUUGUGCUGCUCAUAACGAAACAAUUGUUUGACGAAUUUGACCUCAAAUCAGGUAGGACUACCCGCUGAACUUAA
rnacentral:misc_RNA from 1 species